ACCACGAACAUGGACAGCGAGCUGAGCUGAGAUAUUACGGAUAUUACCGGAGCUCAUUCAUGCGUACCAAUUCAGUGGCGGUUUCAGUCUAGAAACAGAUUGAAUCAACAGUUUUCACUCAUUCCUCUCAGAUGAAUGAGAGUAAACUGGUUCUUAUCCAGUGGGACGAAAUGGGAUAACUGUGAUGCAACUGUGAUGCUCGGUGACAAUCAGGUGUGAAUCCUGUAAGGUGCCAUGCCAUGGAAUAUUGUGUUGGUAGAGGCAAGGUGCUUUAUAACAUAACGUCAUCAGUAGAGGUAGAAGCACGUUCUGAAGACAGUUAAAGUGAUAUGGAGACAUAUUCAGAUAUAGACAACAUACAACUGGCAGUACUAAAAGGAGACAAAAAGGUCCUUCCUGAAAGAUUGAUCUUUUUCCUCAGAGGUCCUUCUGGAGAGAGUACUCAGUGUAACGUCAACACUUGCAGCAGACCCUGAUUCAAGAGAGGCAGCUUCUUCUCAAAGAGAGGUCAGAGCCUCAACAUCUGCAAUGGAGCGAGGAUCAAUGCAAGCAUCUCCUCAGACAGGGCUCACUUUCAUAUUCUUUAAUUUGAUUUUGAUAAAGUUAUAUUAAUUUAGAAUUAAAGUAGGAGAGGCAGAGGCUAGAGUGCAAGUAAUCUACUUCAGACUUUUUCUAAAACCUUUCUCCCUCGUUUACCUUAAAAGUGAAUUUGUGUUGAAAAUAUGAGCUGUUGGUUUCAGAAACUUGUCUGAAAGAGCUAAUUAACCCUAAAACUGCCAGGGAGGGGGGGGGGGGGGGGGGGCUCCCCCUCCGACAUUUUCCGCGACCAUUCCACUGUGCGAAAUGGACACCGCAACUUCAUGGCACACCAGUGAAACAGAGGCGUGGUCAUAAUUGGCCUGCACGCACAGCGAAAAAAAAAUUUGCAAAUAAGUAUAUUGUCACUAAUUAGCAUAAUGUGCGAAGUGAUUGAAUAUGAAAUGAAUUCAGAGCUGCGUCUUUGGUAAAUAAUAAGGUAGAUUAUGUCAUUCAUUCCCCCGUUCAUCCCCCAGGUAUUCAGUUGUUUAUUUAUCUUUUCUUGUUUACAUAUUCUUAAUUAUUAUCUGUCGUGAAUUUCGUGAUUAAUUAUAACUACAUCAAUUAAUACAAUUAUUUAUUUGCUAGCUAUUUCCCUGGAAGACAUAUGGAAGCUGUCAAGGGAUUCAUUAAUAGGAUUGAACUUAGGGAUCUGCUUGCUCUAUUCAUGAGGUGUUCAUUAUACAUGAAUAGCCAUAAUUAUUUAUGGGUUUGAUUUUUUUUUUUUGGGGGGGGGUAAAUACUUCAAAUGAUCAGAGAAAUCUGAGCAAGAGAGCAAUUAAAGCAAUCAGAAGGUCAUUUUGUCUUUAUUUUGAAAUUGAAAUUAACAAUCUGGUGCAAAUCCUAUGAAGAUUUAAACAAAAAAACACAUUUUCUAAUUUUGGAUGGGAGAAAAAGACAGCCCAGUACCCCCCCCCCCCCUCCCAGCAUGAAUUCGCUCUCAACAAGGCUAUCUUAUAAAUGUCACUUCCAAACAAAAUAAAAUUUUUGUACCUGCCCACCCCUUAAAUCUCUCUAUCGAUCCCACCCCCUCUCUCUCUUCCACACACACCACAUAAUCAUGCGAGCAAACAAUUAUUCUCAUAUCAUUUUUAUUUCUAUCCCACUCUUAAAUCAAACUCAUUUAUAGGAAGAAUAUUUAAUUUGGCUGUUCCUGAUCUUAAAAUUUCACAGUAUACCGUGUUGCAAUAUCUUUUAUGGGCUUUCUUGCCAUGCAUGGUAUUUGAUACUUUGUUAUACUAUUACCUGUUGUACUAGUAUUUAUACCCAUAGAUUCCUGACAAACAAAAUCAAUCAUUAGCACCAUCACAUUCCAGUCAUAUAGAAGUAUUCUUCAUUAUCAUUACCAUCAUCUAAAUAGUGCCAUUUCAUCACAACACAGUAUUGUAGUAAUAACAUCAUCAUCACAUAUGUUUCACCCAAUAUGAAUUGGUGGAUUAAAUAAAUCUUGAAUAUCAAGAUUAGAAAGUAUAUUUCAAAUUAAAAUGUUUAUUAAGGAAUCAAUUUUUGAAUAUGUGAUAAAAAUAAUCCUUUCCUUUAUUUCUCGCCAAAGCAUCACAUUACAUCAGCAAAAUGCAUAUAAUGAAUGCAACAGAAAUUGCAAGGCUGUUACAAGGGAGGGGAUGUAAUUUUUUUGGUAAAAUCUAGAGAUAAAAAUAGAAAAAAGUAUGUUUAUUCACUUUCAUAGGUAUUGAUAAGCCUUUAAUAUGUUAAUAUAAGGGGGCAUCAAGGAUGUCAUUAAAAAAGAUUAACGAUAUACCUCUCAAAGUCGGUUACUCAAACGUCAAGACAUUUUUUUCAGCAUAAACUGACAAUAGCAUGCUAAUCUAACAGGGGGCACUUCACAAAAAGGGGAGCACAUUGCCACAUUUCUCUAAAGGGUACCUUCCCAAAUCUGCACAUUAGUGAAAUCAGUAACAAAAUUGCUUAUUGUCUAUUGUUGUGAAGUGCUGCCAGAGCUGUGUUCUAUUUCCAACAAUUUUUUUUUAUUUGCAGAGUUAAUUUAGUUCAUAAUAUGGGACAUGGACAAUACAGUGUUACAAGAACAAAAAGAGAUUAAAAAAACGAACAAAACAGUGCAACUUUUCAUUUCCCCCCAAAAUAAAUUCAACAGCUUAAUUUCCAGCACUACAGGUCCUUGUUUCAUAAAGACUUCAAUUAUGGUAAAUUUGCGCCAAUUGUAACUAGCAACUAGCAUGGGAACCUCAAUAUUGAUCUGCUUUAAUGUUUCCAUGGUAAUUACCAGAAUGGCAAAGUUAGAGUAGUGGUUAGUCUUAAUGAAAUGGAGUCCAGGAGUGAGAGUGAUUUCUUAAUCCUUUGUUCUGUCACCUUGUUUUUUUAGAAUGCAAAUUUUUCAAUGAAAAUCCACAUUUCUUAUUACUUUUAUUACUUUACUUUUACUUUUAUCCAACGAUGCUUGUAGGACUAUGCCUGUUCAUCGAUCCAAGGGAAUAAACAGUAUGCUCCACACUUUCAGUUUCAAUUCUCGCUAUCCCAAAUAGGAACAAAAAUCUCAUAAUGCGCGAGACGAGAUAAUUUUCACUCCGUCGCGAUACUGAGUUUUCCACCACGCUGAAAUCGAUGCCAAUCAGCAUAAUAUGUACAGAGUAUAAUACUUUUUAUUACAUUUGGUCAGUUUUGAUUCCAUUUAAAUUAUAAAUAAAAAUAAAAAAUAUAUUUCACGUGAAAAUAAUUUUUAUUCAUGUUUUUAUUUGGUUAUAAAAAAUCAAACAAAUAAUGAAUAUCUUAAAAUUUUGCAUUUAGCGACCGGUCUGACAUCACGAUCGUAUUCAACUAGACGCUAAAUAUAUACAGCAUUCAUUUCGUUCAAUUUUUCGUCGACCACAAAAUGGAUAAAAAUCAGUUUCGGAACUUAAAAAAAUCUUAACUGACAGAUGAAUACCGUGCAAUGGAAAUCGUCGGGCAGAAUUAGUGACUUUAGCAGAAAAGGCUGUAAAACUGUUAAACUGUAUCGUGAAAGAGAGGGUUGUGAUCACGAACUUUCCGAGCGAAAGCGACGUUGUGUUGUUGUGCAUGACGGCACUGUUGAUCUGAAUGGCAAAGCAGUGCAUUGGACUUCCGAACAGGAAGUUGUAAUACCGAAAAAGCUAUCCCAUAAUGCAAUGCACGUUACAGGGAUUUUCCCGGAUCUCGGCGAAAUCGCUAUUUGGGGUAGCGAGAAUUAGUUGCAUGUGGCAAGUAGUAGCAUGUGGCAAGAAGUUGCACAUGGCAAGUAGUUACAUGUGGCAAGAUACAAUAUUCAUUACUCAAAGUCGUAAACAAAAGCAAUAUCCUUCCAGUGAUUAUCAAGCCGAUUCUUAAAGGAAUUUACAGAAGGUGCUGAAACCACAUUUUCAGGUAGACUGUUCCAAGAACUAAUAACUCGAUUUGAAAAGAAGAACUUCCUUACAUCAAGCCUUGCAUACUGCUUCUCAAGUUUCUGGGAAUGGCCUCUAGUCCUCCCUUCCUUACUUUGUACAAGCAGAUCUAUGCUAGUGUCAUAGAUACCAUGCAUAAACUUAUAAACAUCUAUCAUAUCUCCUCUUCUAUGUCUAUGUAGAAGAGAUGGUAUUUUCAGGUGUUGCAGUCGCUGUGAAUAGGACAAGUUCCUCAGUCCAGGGAUUAGCUUGGUAGCUCUUCGCUGCACACUCUCUAGCCGUUUCUGAUCGCCUAUUCUAAAAGGUGACCAAACUGAAUGGCCAUAUUCCAAUAACGGUCUUAUUAGACCCUUAAACAUAAGCUUCACUGUAUCUUCAUCCAAAUUUACAAAAGACCUCCUCAUUAAACCCAGCAAUUUAUUUGAUUUAGAGACAGCUUGUGAGAUAUGGUCUUUGAAGGUGAGUCGUCAAUCAACUAGUACACCCAAGUCCCUUUCUACCUGACUUUCACUAAGAAGUACAGAAUCAUCUUCUUUGCCCAUACGAUAUUCAUAUGCAGACUGCAUACAACCAACUUUCAGAACAGUACACUUGUCUGGGUGGAAGCAAAGUUGCCAUUUCUCAACCCAGCUUUCUAACAGUGACAGGUCAUUUUGAAGUUGCUGACAAGAUCCAGGUAGAUCCGAGCGGGCAUAAAGCUUUGUAUCAUCCGCAAAAAGCUUGAUAUUUGAUUGCACUGUAUUGGGAAGAUCAUUAAUGUAUGCCAGGAACAGACAGGGACCAAGCACACUACCCUGAGGAAUACCACUUGGGACUUCACACCAGUUAGACUCCUGACCAUUAACAUAAACAUGUUGCUUUCGUCCAAGAAGAAAGGCCUUAAUCCAUGCAUGGACAUGUCCUCGAAUACCAUAAGCCUCUAGCUUUGUCAGUAAUCUUUGGUGUGGCACAGAAUCAAAAGCCUUCAUAAAAUCCAUGUAGAUGGCAUCAAUUGUGCCGCCAUCAUCUAAUACUCGAGUCCAUUCAUCAAUGACUUCCAACAGAUGUGUGGUACAUGACUUGCCCACAACAAAUCCAUGUUGAUGAGUAGAAAGAAGUGCAUUUCUAUAGAAAUGUUCCAUGAAAACUUUCCUUAUCAAAGAUUCAAGUACCUUACAGACAAUACAUGUCAAACUAACUGGCCUAUAAUUCUUACUAUGACUUUUACCCCCCUUCUUAAAAAUGGGUGUAACAUUUGCAGAUCUCCAAUCUAAUGGAAAUUCACCUCUCUAUAAGCUUGUCUGGAAUAUCAUAGCAAGUGGAACUGAAAGCACGUCAGCCAACUCGUGAAGAAAGCGAGGAUGUAACUUAUCAGGGCCAGGAGACUUGCUUAGGUUGAGCUUCCGUAGGAGCUAUGAAACGUCUCUUGAAGUGAUUUCUAGAUUUCCUAAAGCAGAAUCAUAGAACACAGCUGGGGGAACAGGCAAGGAUUCCACAUCUUCCUGAGUGAACAC